CCAAUAGCGUAUAUUAAAGUUGCUGCAGUUAAAAAGCUCGUAGUUGAAUUUCGGGACCAUCAUGUCGGUCGUGCCUCGGUACGUACUGGCAUUGUUGGUUUCUCCCUUCUGACGAACCAUGAUGUCAUUUAUUUGGUGUUGUGGGAAUCAGGACUGUUACUUUGAAAAAAUUAGAGUGUUUAAAGCAGGCUCACGCUUGAAUACAUUAGCAUGGAAUAAUGAAGUAGGACGUUUGAUUCUAUUUUGUUGGUUUCUAGGAUUGACGUAAUGAUUAAUAGGGAUAGUUGGGGGCAUUAGUAUUCAAUUGUCAGAGGUGAAAUUCUUGGAUUUAUUGAAGACUAACUACUGCGAAAGCAUUUGCCAAGGAUGUUUUCAUUAAUCAAGAACGAAAGUUAGGGGAUCGAAGACGAUCAGAUACCGUCGUAGUCUUAACCAUAAACUAUGCCGACUAGGGAUCGGAUGAUGUUAAUUUUUUAAUGACUCAUUCGGCGCCUUACG
rnacentral:rRNA from 1 species